UUAAGCGACUAAGCGUACACGGUGGAUGCCCUGGCAGUCAGAGGCGAUGAAGGACGUGCUAAUCUGCGAAAAGCGCCGGCGAGGUGAUAUGAACCUUUGACCCGGCGAUGUCCGAAUGGGGAAACCCAGUGCAAUCCGUUGCACUAUCGUUAACUGAAUACAUAGGUUAACGAGGCGAACCGGGGGAACUGAAACAUCUAAGUACCCCGAGGAAAAGAAAUCAACCGAGAUUCCCCCAGUAGCGGCGAGCGAACGGGGAGCAGCCCGGAGUCUGAAUCAGCUUGUGUGUUAGUGGAACGGUCUGGAAAGUCCGACGGUACAGGGUGAUAGUCCCGUACACGAAAGCACACAUGCUGUGAACUCGAAGAGUAGGGCGGGACACGUGGUAUCCUGUCUGAAUAUGGGGGGACCAUCCUCCAAGGCUAAAUACUCCUGACUGACCGAUAGUGAACCAGUACCGUGAGGGAAAGGCGAAAAGAACCCCGGCGAGGGGAGUGAAAAAGAACCUGAAACCGUGUACGUACAAGCAGUGGGAGCCUCUUUAUGGGGUGACUGCGUACCUUUUGUAUAAUGGGUCAGCGACUUAUAUUCUGUAGCAAGGUUAACCGUAUAGGGGAGCCGAAGGGAAACCGAGUCUUAACUGGGCGUUAAGUUGCAGGGUAUAGACCCGAAACCCGGUGAUCUAGCCAUGGGCAGGUUGAAGGUUGGGUAACACUAACUGGAGGACCGAACCGACUAAUGUUGAAAAAUUAGCGGAUGACCUGUGGCUGGGGGUGAAAGGCCAAUCAAACCGGGAGAUAGCUGGUUCUCCCCGAAAGCUAUUUAGGUAGCGCCUCGUGAACUCAUCUUCGGGGGUAGAGCACUGUUUCGGCUAGGGGGCCAUCCCGGCUUACCAACCCGAUGCAAACUACGAAUACCGAAGAAUGUUAUCACGGGAGACACACGGCGGGUGCUAACGUCCGUCGUGAAGAGGGAAACAACCCAGACCGCCAGCUAAGGUCCCAAAGUCAUGGUUAAGUGGGAAACGAUGUGGGAAGGCACAGACAGCCAGGAUGUUGGCUUAGAAGCAGCCAUCAUUUAAAGAAAGCGUAAUAGCUCACUGGUCGAGUCGGCCUGCGCGGAAGAUGUAACGGGGCUAAACCAUGCACCGAAGCUGCGGCAGCGACACUAUGUGUUGUUGGGUAGGGGAGCGUUCUGUAAGCCGUCGAAGGUGUGCUGUGAGGGGUGCUGGAGGUAUCAGAAGUGCGAAUGCUGACAUAAGUAACGAUAAAGCGGGUGAAAAGCCCGCUCGCCGGAAGACCAAGGGUUCCUGUCCAACGUUAAUCGGGGCAGGGUGAGUCGACCCCUAAGGCGAGGCCGAAAGGCGUAGUCGAUGGGAAACAGGUUAAUAUUCCUGUACUUGGUGUUACUGCGAAGGGGGGACGGAGAAGGCUAUGUCAGCCGGGCGACGGUUGUCCCGGUUUAAGCAUGUAGGCGGAGGUUCCAGGUAAAUCCGGUACCUUAUUAACGCUGAGGUGUGAUGACGAGGCACUACGGUGCUGAAGUGAUAAAUGCCCUGCUUCCAGGAAAAGCCUCUAAGCAUCAGGUAACACGAAAUCGUACCCCAAACCGACACAGGUGGUCAGGUAGAGAAUACCAAGGCGCUUGAGAGAACUCGGGUGAAGGAACUAGGCAAAAUGGUGCCGUAACUUCGGGAGAAGGCACGCUGAUAUGUAGGUGAAGUCCCUGCGGACGGAGCUGAAAUCAGUCGAAGAUACCAGCUGGCUGCAACUGUUUAUUAAAAACACAGCACUGUGCAAACACGAAAGUGGACGUAUACGGUGUGACGCCUGCCCGGUGCCGGAAGGUUAAUUGAUGGGGUUAGCGGCAACGCGAAGCUCUUGAUCGAAGCCCCGGUAAACGGCGGCCGUAACUAUAACGGUCCUAAGGUAGCGAAAUUCCUUGUCGGGUAAGUUCCGACCUGCACGAAUGGCGUAAUGAUGGCCAGGCUGUCUCCACCCGAGACUCAGUGAAAUUGAACUCGCUGUGAAGAUGCAGUGUACCCGCGGCAAGACGGAAAGACCCCGUGAACCUUUACUAUAGCUUGACACUGAACACUGGUCCUUGAUGUGUAGGAUAGGUGGGAGGCUUUGAAGCGUGGACGCCAGUCUGCGUGGAGCCAACCUUGAAAUACCACCCUUUAAUGGCUGGUGUUCUAACGUAGACCCGUAAUCCGGGUUGCGGACAGUGUCUGGUGGGUAGUUUGACUGGGGCGGUCUCCUCCCAAAGAGUAACGGAGGAGCACGAAGGUUGGCUAAUCCUGGUCGGACAUCAGGAGGUUAGUGCAAUGGCAUAAGCCAGCUUGACUGCGAGCGUGACGGCGCGAGCAGGUGCGAAAGCAGGUCAUAGUGAUCCGGUGGUUCUGAAUGGAAGGGCCAUCGCUCAACGGAUAAAAGGUACUCCGGGGAUAACAGGCUGAUACCGCCCAAGAGUUCAUAUCGACGGCGGUGUUUGGCACCUCGAUGUCGGCUCAUCACAUCCUGGGGCUGAAGUAGGUCCCAAGGGUAUGGCUGUUCGCCAUUUAAAGUGGUACGCGAGCUGGGUUUAGAACGUCGUGAGACAGUUCGGUCCCUAUCUGCCGUGGGCGCUGGAGAAUUGAGGGGGGCUGCUCCUAGUACGAGAGGACCGGAGUGGACGCAUCACUGGUGUUCGGGUUGUCAUGCCAAUGGCACUGCCCGGUAGCUAAAUGCGGAAGAGAUAAGUGCUGAAAGCAUCUAAGCACGAAACUUGCCCCGAGAUGAGUUCUCCCUGAGACUUUAAGUCUCCUGAAGGAACGUUGAAGACGACGACGUUGAUAGGUCGGGUGUGUAAGCGCAGCGAUGCGUUGAGCUAACCGAUACUAAUGAACCGUGAGGCUUAACCUU
rnacentral:rRNA from 1 species